GAGCGAACGGACGAGAAGCUUGCUUCUCUGAUGUUAGCGGCGGACGGGUGAGUAACACGUGGAUAACCUACCUAUAAGACUGGGAUAACUUCGGGAAACCGGAGCUAAUACCGGAUAAUAUUUUGAACCGCAUGGUUCAAAAGUGAAAGACGGUCUUGCUGUCACUUAUAGAUGGAUCCGCGCUGCAUUAGCUAGUUGGUAAGGUAACGGCUUACCAAGGCAACGAUGCAUAGCCGACCUGAGAGGGUGAUCGGCCACACUGGAACUGAGACACGGUCCAGACUCCUACGGGAGGCAGCAGUAGGGAAUCUUCCGCAAUGGGCGAAAGCCUGACGGAGCAACGCCGCGUGAGUGAUGAAGGUCUUCGGAUCGUAAAACUCUGUUAUUAGGGAAGAACAUAUGUGUAAGUAACUGUGCACAUCUUGACGGUACCUAAUCAGAAAGCCAUGGCUAACUACGUGCCAGCAGCCGCGGUAAUACGUAGGUGGCAAGCGUUAUCCGGAAUUAUUGGGCGUAAAGCGCGCGUAGGCGGUUUUUUAAGUCUGAUGUGAAAGCCCACGGCUCAACCGUGGAGGGUCAUUGGAAACUGGAAAACUUGAGUGCAGAAGAGGAAAGUGGAAUUCCAUGUGUAGCGGUGAAAUGCGCAGAGAUAUGGAGGAACACCAGUGGCGAAGGCGACUUUCUGGUCUGUAACUGACGCUGAUGUGCGAAAGCGUGGGGAUCAAACAGGAUUAG
rnacentral:rRNA from 1 species